rnacentral:lncRNA from 1 species
GGAGCGCAGCAUUGAUAGGGAUAGGAGAAGGGAGAGGGAAGGACGAGAUAGAGACAAUGAAAGAGGUGGGAGCGUCGAUAGGGAAAGGAGAAGGGAGAGGGAAGGAGAUUAUUUACGAGACAGAGACAAUAGAAGGGGUAGGAGUAGAGACAGAACCAGAUAUGAUAGCCGAGAGAGGAUGAGAGAAAAGGAAAGGGAGAGUGACAAAGAUAGAGAAAUCCAGGCUGAUAAGGAGAAGUAUAAAAGUGUUGAAGUGGACAACGGUGAAAGGU